ACUGGUGAGUUUGUUUGUGUCAGACUCACAGAGCCGUGUCUCUCAGAGGUUUUUGUACGACGACUCGACCAGUUUGUAUCACUGUGGUACACGUUUGGUGGAGGAACCAGACUGGAGUUUGGAAGUGAUACCCGUCCCAUCCUGACGGUGCUGCCUCCCUCCAGUGAGGAGCUGCAGCAGGGGAAGGCCACACUCAUGUGUCUGGCCAACAAGGGCUUCCCCUCAGACUGGAGUCUGUCCUGGAAGGUGGACGGCAGCAGCAGCAGCUGGGAGGAGGACAGGAGCCCCGUGGUGAUGAAGGACGGCCUCUACAGCUGGAGCAGCACCCUGAGGCUCACUGCAGACCAGUGGAGGAAGGUGGGCUCUGUGACCUGUGAGGCCACCCAGGGCUCCCAGUCUCCAGUCUCAGAGUCACUCAGGAGAGACCAGUGUUCCCAGUACUGAUGGGACUCACUGUGAUGCUGGUUUUACUUUGCUAAUUCUUUCAGUUUGAUUCAUGUGGUUUUUCACCUGCUUAAAUAAAGCUUGUUUUAUAAGAAUUAAACU